GAUGAACGCUGGCGGCGUGCCUAAUACAUGCAAGUCGAGCGAACGGACGAGAAGCUUGCUUCUCUGAUGUUAGCGGCGGACGGGUGAGUAACACGUGGAUAACCUACCUAUAAGACUGGGAUAACUUCGGGAAACCGGAGCUAAUACCGGAUAAUAUUUUGAACCGCAUGGUUCAAAAGUGAAAGACGGUCUUGCUGUCACUUAUAGAUGGAUCCGCGCUGCAUUAGCUAGUUGAUAAGGUAACGGCUUACCAAGGCAACGAUGCAUAGCCGACCCGAGAGGGUGAUCGGCCACACUGGAACUGGGACACGGUCCAGACGCCUACGGGAGGCGGCAGUAGGGAAUCUUCCGCAAUGGGCGAAAGCCUGACGGGGCAACGCCGCGUGAGUGAUGAAGGUCUUCGGAUCGUAAAACUCUGUUAUUAGGGAAGAACAUAUGUGUAAGUAACUGUGCACAUCUUGACGGUACCUAAUCAGAAAGCCACGGCUAACUACGUG
rnacentral:rRNA from 1 species